rnacentral:rRNA from 1 species
UACAGAGGUCCCAAGCGUUGUUCGGAUUCACUGGGCGUAAAGGGUGCGUAGGCGGUCGGGUAAGUCUGAUGUGAAAUCUCACAGCUUAACUGUGAAACUGCAUUGGAUACUAUCCGGCUCGAGGAAUGGAGGGGAGACUGGAAUACUUGGUGUAGCAGUGAAAUGCGUAGAUAUCAAGUGGAACACCAGUGGCGAAGGCGAGUCUCUGGGCAAUAACUGACGCUGAGGAGCGAAAGCGUGGGGAGCGAACAGG